UCCUGCGGCCUCUCGGUCGGAGGCGGUCUGCGUUCUGGCGUCCCGAGACCCCGACCUUUUCCGAGGUUGCUCUGGGGCCGCCGUAUUCCCUGUGCAAUCUGUCAGUUGGGUUAUAUUUUAAUGAAAGAGCUUGUAUGGCCGAAAGGGGCUGUGGAUAGCCGAACUAAUUCCCGCCUCUGGGAGGGAGUUGCCGGAUGGCCCGACACUCAGAAGCCACAUGACAGAAACGGCAUGAACGUUACGCGACUCGAGCCCGAAGCCGCUCAGGUGGCAUUUCCUGUCUAGAGCGCUUGUCAGCUCCCUCUGCAGACCUGCCUUUCUGCCACCCUUACCUCGCUCUUUGCUAAACCAGCCUUCAGAGGCCUUCUCCGUCCGGCUGUCCCCGGGCCUCCUUUCCUCUCUCCCUUCGGUGCUAUCAUUUACCCUUCUCUGAAGCCAAAGGAACAGAACACUCCUUAGACGUCGCAGGAGGAUCUUGUUUCCACCGCAUUUCCAUUUAGUGAUCAGAGAGCCACGUCUGCCUUCCCUGCUUCCUGGCUGUUAAUCAAUCAGCUUCCAGAACUACCUGAUGGAAGUUCCAAAUGCAAGACACUGCAGUGGCUCCAGGGCCCCAGGUCACACAGGCCUGGGUGCAAUCCCCAGCCCUCCCUCUCUGUUGGAUGUUGUGUAGUGUGGAACCUAACGGAAGUUAAGACGAUGUGGAAAAGCUGCUUCCUGGAGUCUGCAGACAGGCCUUCCGUGCUGUUCUAAAGGAAGAAAAAUGGAGGCCUUGGAUCUGGUGAACAGUUCUGAGAGGUGGUACUGCCCCUGUUACUUGCCGUGGGAAAUAUUUGGGAGAAGUGAACACCGCACUUCUGCUGAAGGUGCUUCGGUGACUACGUUCAGCGCAGCUCUUGCUGUCCUGGAAGGCCGGGCUGUGUGGCCUCGCGGGCCCUUGAGAUAUGCGGCAUCAGAAAACCUGACACUAGGAAAUCCCCAUCCUGGAUCUGGCUGCACCUCAGGGACACAAAGAGAACAGGAGCAGGAAAUUUAUGGCACUGAGAUGACAUCUGAGGGGUGAUCAUUCUUUUCAAUUCGCAUGGAAGAGAGAAGCCUGAGGGAGAGAGAUUAGAGGCACAUGUUGCUGUUUGUAAUAAAAAUCGCUCCUCUCCCCAUCCUGGUUCUGAAACAACUGAGACAAACCCAAAAGCUUUACUGCUGAUAAAGCCACUAUUGGGGAGUGUGGCCUCGAUUUGUUGUUGCAGGUUCUAGAAGACGGUGGCCAAGCCUUGGGACACAGGGAAGAGAACAGAUGACACAAGAGCUCUGAGGUUCAGGAGCUCAGCGAUCCUACCUGCUUCAUCCCCAACCAACACUUGGCACCUGCCCUAACGUCUAGGAAAUAGAGGACGUCAACCCCCAUAAAUUCCACUCUGAGACUUGUUAAAAUGGCUUUUGGAUUGCAAGUGAGCUGCUUUGCUUUUUCUUUAUUAAAAAUAAUCUCAAAAUGAAGGCAAGUCUUAGGAAAUGCAUGCCUACCAUCCCAGACUUGCUGCUGGUGGGCCCAGGAAGAGAAACGUGUCCUUAGCCAGUCAGGUGUCUUAGAAGAAGAAAGCCACCUGUAGUGACUGUGACUCUGCCCCCAGGACCCACGUGGUGGUGUUUUAGGUCGUCUCUAGGCACAGGCUUCACAGAGACAGUGAGGAGCGUCAGAGGAGCUGGCGGGUGACAAGGCUGUGGGGCAUCACUAGUCUAGACACAAGACACAAUUGUGCUGCAAGGAAAUGUGAGGAAACCGGAAGCCCCUCUUUUACGCUGAGUGUGUUGAGGGGACAGGGAGAGCAGGGGCGGGGCACCUUCAGAGAGGGGACUGCUCAGGGCACAGUGUCCAGCACAAACGAGAGGACCUUUUCCUCCAACAUCUCUUAAGUGUAAGACCUUGAGCUACCGAAUGACAAUUCCCAAAAUCGAAAGCGCAACCCCGAGACCUGACUCUAUGUACGUGCAGAAUGGAAAGACUGCGUGGCAGGGCCUGGGACUGGCCUGUGUGUUUUCUUCCACGUCCAGACGACUGGCGAGCAGCCCCAGCCAGCAGCGUCGCCGCAGUGCAGGAGCACAGCUGCAGGCACAGCACUUGGGAGCUGAGCAGCGUGAUGCGGCGCGUGUGGAACCCACGCGUGCGAGGUAAUGACGCCACCAACUGAGCACAGGCCCGGCCCGUGGACACUGUUUGUCUGGCUUGCAAAGUGUUUUGAACAACUUUUCCACUCAUUGCUGAUACUUCUAAAUUGGGAAAUUUCAUAUCAAAAUCAGACUUCAAACUUUUCUUGAAAGUGAGAGUGUGGCAGGGCAGGGCCCAUACUCCAGCAUGGCAAGAGCCAUCCACAGAAGCCAAGGGGCAGCGAGGCCACCCUUCCUCUGCAGUGACCACCUUCCUCCAGGCUGGCUGCUUCCCUCCUGUGGCUGAGCUGCCUGCUCUGCUAGCAUUGUGUCUGCUGUGUGGUCCCAAGUGACAUGGCAGCCGUCACAGUUAAUGGCGGGGUUGGCAUCAGCUCCAGCUUGUAGAGUUGUCUUUGGUCUCCACCACAACCCUGUUCCUGAAUCAAGUUGUUGGGGGUCACUUGAGGACCCAGUCUGAAGAAGUGGCUUGGAGUUGCAGAUUGGCCAAGUGACAAUGCCAAUUUUAUAGAAAUUCAUAGGAAAUCUAGUAAACUCCAAACAGCCAAGGGCCAAGUUUAAGUGUAAACUUCAGGGGUUUCAUCUGUCUUGCUCCCCCUGUGGCUCAUUGCCUUACAAAGGGUAGGAGCUCAAUAAAAAUUUGUCAGCUGAUGUGGUCCAUGUCUCAGCCUGAAGCACUGCUCAAGAUGAUAUAAAGAUGAGUUCAUUCCAGAGCGAGUCCAUUGCUCUUCGGUAAGAUCCAGCCGGGCGAGGUAACAUUUAUCACCUGCUGCAGAAAUUUGUAUGCUCUGUUAGCAAAUAGCUUUUUUUUUUUUAAGUGCCAAUGCUCCAGUUUACAUGUCAAAUCUCUAGGAUCCAGACCUCUAAUGCUCAGAUAGUGUAGUCACUACAGAGAACACACAGGACUCCUUCAUGUUCAGUUCAGUCCAAUAAAUAUUUACUGAGCUCCUA